CAGUAGCCGCGGUAACACGAAGGGGGCUAGCGUUGUUCGGAAUCACUGGGCGUAAAGGGUGCGUAGGCGGAUUCUUAAGUCAGGGGUGAAAUCCCGAGGCUCAACCUCGGAACUGCCUUUGAUACUGGGGAUCUUGAGUCCGGAAGAGGUGAGUGGAACUGCGAGUGUAGAGGUGAAAUUCGUAGAUAUUCGCAAGAACACCGGUGGCGAAGGCGGCUCACUGGCCCGGAACUGACGCUGAGGCACGACAGCGUGGGGAGCAAACAGGAUUAGAUACCCCCGUAGUCCCUGUCUCUUAUAC
rnacentral:rRNA from 1 species